ACGGCUCAGUAACACGUGGCUAACCUACCCUUAGGACGGAGACACCCCCGGGAAACUGGGGCUAAUACCCGAUAGGUGAGGAGGCCUAGAAUGGUUCUUCGCUGAAAAGGCGUUGAAACCAUGCUUUUCAACGUCGCCUAAGGAUGGGGCCGCGCCCGAUCAGGUUGUUGGUGAGGUAACGGCUCACCAAGCCUAUAACCGGUACGGGCCGUGAGAGCGGGAGCCCGGAGAUGGGCACUGAGACAAGGGCCCAGGCCCUACGGGGCGCAGCAGUCGCGAAAACUCCGCAAUGCGCGAAAGCGUGACGGGGCUACCCCGAGUGCCGUCCGCUGAGGAUGGCUUUUCCCCGGUGUAAUGAGCCGGGGGAAUAAGGAGAGGGCAAGACUGGUGUCAGCCGCCGCGGUAAUACCAGCUCUCCGAGUAGUAGGGACGAUUAUUGGGCUUAAAGCGUCCGUAGCCGGCUUAGCAAGUCUCCUGUUAAAUUCAGCGACCUAAUCGUUGAGCCGCGGGAGAUACUACUAGGCUAGGAGGCGGGAGAGGCCGACGGUACUCCCGGGGUAGGGGUGAAAUCCUAUAAUCCCGGGAGGACCACCAGUGGCGAAGGCUGUCGGCUAGAACGCGCUCGACGGUGAGGGACGAAAGCUGGGGGAGCGAACCGGAUUAGAUACCCGGGUAGUCCCAGCUGUAAACGAUGCGGGCUAGGUGUUGAGGUGGCUACGAGCCACUUCAGUGCCGCAGGGAAGCCAUUAAGCCCGCCGCCUGGGGAGUACGGCCGCAAGGCUGAAACUUAAAGGAAUUGGCGGGGGAG
rnacentral:rRNA from 1 species